rnacentral:lncRNA from 1 species
ACGACAACACGCCUCUAGAAGAACCAAAAAAUUAAAGUUUUGAAAGAAUAAUUUGCAGAGUUUCAUUUAAACAAGGUAUGCUCGAUCUCUGGAUUGAAGAAUAUGAGAAGGCAAAUGGAAGUUGCUGAGCUCGCAAAGCAUGACGACGUCCACUCUCGCAUUUUCCUGUUUGAUAUUUUCUUUUUGCUGGGCCUGGGAAAUUCUCAGUACUUUGUUGCUCUUUAGUUGCUGAUCUCUUGUUUUGAUUUUAAUUUUGGAUCAAUUUCUUAAAUCAUUAGAUGAUUCUUGAUAAAAUUUAGUUUGUCUUUUUUAAUUUAAUAAUUUUGGGGGAAAGAGAAUUCGAUUAGGAAAGCGAGCCCCCACAGCGCUUCAGGCGCUCAAUGGAAGUUCCUCGCCCAUGAUUUGCUGGGUUGGUUUUGUUAUGCUACUUGUGUUUUCUAUUUUUCUGAUGAUUUCGUUACAUCUAGUAUUAGGCUCUCGCACAAGUGGUUGUGGA